rnacentral:rRNA from 1 species
GACGUAGGGCGCAAGCGUUGUCCGGAUUUAUUGGGCGUAAAGAGCUCGUAGGCGGCUUGUUGCGUCGUCCGUGAAAACCUGUGGCUCAACUACAGGCUUGCGGUCGAUACGGGCGGGCUGGAGUUCGGUAGGGGAGACUGGAAUUCCUGGUGUAGCGGUGAAAUGCGCAGAUAUCGGGAGGAACACCUAUGGCGAAGGCAGCUCGCUGGGACGUUACUGACGCUGAGGAACGAAAGCUAGGGGAGCAAACAGG